UGGGGAAUUUUGGACAAUGGGCGAAAGCCUGAUCCAGCAAUGCCGCGUGUGUGAAGAAGGCCUUCGGGUUGUAAAGCACUUUUGUCCGGAAAGAAAUCCUUGGCUCUAAUACAGUCGGGGGAUGACGGUACCGGAAGAAUAAGCACCGGCUAACUACGUGCCAGCAGCCGCGGUAAUACGUAGGGUGCAAGCGUUAAUCGGAAUUACUGGGCGUAAAGCGUGCGCAGGCGGUUUGCUAAGACCGAUGUGAAAUCCCCGGGCUCAACCUGGGAACUGCAUUGGUGACUGGCAGGCUAGAGUAUGGCAGAGGGGGGUAGAAUUCCACGUGUAGCAGUGAAAUGCGUAGAGAUGUGGAGGAAUACCGAUGGCGAAGGCAGCCCCCUGGGCCAAUACUGACGCUCAUGCACGAAAGCGUGGGGGAGCAAACAGGAUUAGAUACCCUGGUAGUCCACGCCCUAAACGAUGUCAACUAGUUGUUGGGGAUUCAUUUCCUUAGUAACGUAGCUAACGCGUGAAGUUGACCGCCUGGGGAGUACGGUCGCAAGAUUAAAACUCAAAUGAAUUGACGGGGUCAUAGCUGUUUCCU
rnacentral:rRNA from 1 species